GAUGAACGCUGGCGGCGUGCCUAAUACAUGCAAGUCGAGCGAACAGACGAGGAGCUUGCUCCUCUGACGUUAGCGGCGGACGGGUGAGUAACACGUGGAUAACCUACCUAUAAGACUGGGAUAACUUCGGGAAACCGGAGCUAAUACCGGAUAAUAUAUUGAACCGCAUGGUUCAAUAGUGAAAGACGGUUUUGCUGUCACUUAUAGAUGGAUCCGCGCCGCAUUAGCUAGUUGGUAAGGUAACGGCUUACCAAGGCGACGAUGCGUAGCCGACCUGCGAGGGUGAUCGGCCACCCUGGAACUGAGACACGGUCCAGACUCCUACGGGAGGCAGCAGUAGGGAAUCGUCCGCAAUGGUCGAAAGCCUGACGGAGCAACGCCGCGUGAGUGAUGAAGGUCUUCGGAUCGUAAAACUCUGUUAUUAGGGAAGAACAAAUGUGUAAGUAACUAUGCACGUCUUGACGGUACCUAAUCAGAAAGCCACGGCUAACUACGUG
rnacentral:rRNA from 1 species